GCCGGUUUGGCUCAGUGGAUAGAGCGUCGGCCUGUGGACUGAAAGGUCCCAGGUUCGAUUCUGGGAAGGGGCA
rnacentral:tRNA from 1 species